rnacentral:rRNA from 1 species
GACGAACGCUAGCGGCGUGCCUAAUGUAUGCAAGUCGAGCGGGGUAGCGGGCUUCGGUCUGCUAUCUAGCGGCGAACGGUUGAGUAACACGUAGGCAACCUGCCCCGGAGUGGGGGACAACUCGUGGAAACGCGGGCUAAUACCGCAUGUGGCCGGAGGACGCAUGUCCUCUGUGCUAAAGGCGAAAGUCGCUCCGGGAGGGGCCUGCGGCCUAUCAGCUUGUUGGUGAGGUAACGGCUCACCAAGGCGACGACGGGUAGCUGGUCUGAGAGGAUGAUCAGCCAGACAGGGACUGAGACACGGCCCUGACUCCUUUGGGGGGCAGCAAUGAGGGAUAUUGCACAAUGGGCGAAAGCCUGAUGCAGCGACGCCGCGUGGGUGAUGAAGUCUUUCGGGAUGUAAAGCCCUUUUCUCGGGGACGAAACGGACGGUACCCGAGGAAUAAGCCCCGGCUAACUACGUGCCAGCCGCCGCGGUAAUAC